GAUACCCUAUUAGAAUUUAUAAAAAAAAGUUUUAGUAGUAAGUGUAAAACAUGAAACUAAAAAUUAUUGGCGGCUUUUUUAAACAUUUUAGAGGAAUUUAUUCUAUAAAGGAUUCUACACCAAAAUCUUACUUUUAUUAGUAAUUUCAGUCGGUAUACCUCUGUUUUAUAAAUAUAUUUAUAAUAUAUUUUAAACUCUUUUUAAGAAAAUCUUCAGGGCAAGGUGCCGCUCAUAUAAAAGAAUGAAAUAAAUUAUAUUAGUUAAUACUUAACAAAUGUUUUAGUUUAAAAUAAACAUAAGAAAAAUUUAAUAGUAAAAUUUAUUUAUUUAUAUAAAUUUGAACUUUGAAAUUAAAAGUGUACAUAUUGCCCGUCACUCUCUUAUUAAGAGAUAAGUCGAAACAUAGUAAGUCACCCUCCUCAAGUAUACUUCAAAGG
rnacentral:rRNA from 1 species